AACGAACGCUGGCGGCGUGCCUAACACAUGCAAGUCGAACGGAAUUUGAGAGCUUGCUCUUAGAUUUAGUGGCGCACGGGUGAGUAACGCGUAGAUAAUCUGCCUGACGAUCUGGGAUAACACUUCGAAAGAGGUGCUAAUACCGGAUAAGCCCACGGAGUCUAUGGAUUCUGCGGGAAAAGGGGGGGACCUUCGGGCCUUCUGUCGUCAGAUGAGUCUGCGUACCAUUAGCUAGUUGGUAGGGUAAUGGCCUACCAAGGCGACGAUGGUUGGCGGGUCUGGGAGGAUGAUCAGCCACACUGGAACUGAGACACGGUCCAGACUCCUACGGGAGGCGGCAGUGGGGAAUUUUGGGCAAUGGGCGAAAGCCUGACGCAGCAACGCCGCGUGAGUGAUGAAGGCUUUCGGGUCGUAAAGCUCUGUCGAGGGGAAAGAAGUGUACUUCGGCUAAUAUCCAUUGUACUUGACGGUACCCCUAAAGGAAGCACCGGCUAACUCCGUGCCAGCCGCCGCCGUAAAAC
rnacentral:rRNA from 1 species